rnacentral:rRNA from 1 species
UACGUAGGGUGCGAGCGUUGUCCGGAAUUACUGGGCGUAAAGCGUGCGCAGGCGGUUUGUUAAGUCCGCUGUGAAAUCCCCGAGCUCAACUUGGGAAUUGCAGUGGAUACUGGCAAGCUGGAGUAUGGUAGAGGAAGGUGGAAUUCCCGGUGUAGCAGUGAAAUGCGUAGAGAUCGGGAGGAACACCAGUGGCGAAGGCGGCCUUCUGGACCAAUACUGACGCUCAUGCACGAAAUCGUGGGGAGCAAACAUG